rnacentral:tRNA from 1 species
CGGGGUGUAGCGCAGAGGUAGCGCGCUGCGUUCGGGACGCAGAUGUCGCAGGUUCAAAUCCUGUCACCCCGACCA